CUUCAUUUCAAACCCUACUGAUGAGCAGCAAACAGCAUAAAACCUUAACAGACUGCAAGUUAUAAUUGGCAGGCUGUUCUCGUUUUAUGCUGGUUGCAAAAGCCAUUUUCACUUUGCUUCUGAGUGAAAAAGGGUAAAAUGUACACAGUGCUCAAGUGUAACAUUUAUGAAUGAUAGUAAUGCGAGAGGCUUUCUGGCUAUGGAGUUUCCAUGUAGCCAGUUUGAGGGAUACAGAGACUAUGUAAUAUCUGCGCUACAAAACUUAAAGACGCUAGAUGGAACAGCAGUUUAGAGAUCUGAGAGAAUUAAAGCUACACAGGAUAAGGAGAGAGAGGAGGCAAUAAUAUAAUUAGCGAAGGAAGAUCAAUAGAAGGAAGCUGCAAAGGCAGAGGCCGAGAAAAAGCCAGGCUUUGACGGCACCUGGUACACUGAUAUAAAUGCAGAAGAUAAAGAAAAACGUGCCAAGUAACAAACAGAGGAGGCAGAGGAAGAAUUUUAAAAAAGGACAACGAGUA